GAGUCUCCUGAAGGAACGUUGAAGACGACGACGUUGAUAGGCCGGGUGUGUAAGUGCAGCGAUGCGUUGAGCUAACCGGUACUAAUGAACCGUGAGGCUUAACCUUACAACGCCGAAG
rnacentral:rRNA from 1 species